AGAGUUUGAUUAUGGCUCAGAUUGAACGCUGGCGGCAUGCCUUACACAUGCAAGUCGAACGGCAGCGCGGGGCAACCUGGCGGCGAGUGGCGAACGGGUGAGUAAUAUAUCGGAACGUACCCUGGAGUGGGGGAUAACGUAGCGAAAGUUACGCUAAUACCGCAUACGAUCUAAGGAUGAAAGUGGGGGAUCGCAAGACCUCAUGCUCCUGGAGCGGCCGAUAUCUGAUUAGCUAGUUGGUGGGGUAAAGGCCUACCAAGGCAUCGAUCAGUAGCUGGUCUGAGAGGACGACCAGCCACAAUGGGACUGAGACACGGCCCAUACUCCUACGGGAGGCAGCAGUAGGGAAUUUUGCGCAAUGGGGGAAACCCUGACGCAGCAACACCGCGUGAAUGUUAAGCCCUUCGGGGGUGUAAAGUUCUGUCAGUAGGGAAGAACAAAUGACUGUACCUACAAAGGAAGCACCGGCUAACUCCGUGCCAGCCGCAGC
rnacentral:rRNA from 1 species